rnacentral:rRNA from 1 species
GACGAACGCUGGCGGCGCGCUUAACACAUGCAAGUCGAACGGAAAGGCCUGCUUUCCCUUGUGGAUUGCGGGUACUCGAGUGGCGAACGGGUGAGUAACACGUGAGUGAUCUGCCCCCAACUUGGGUAUAAGCCUGGGAAACUGGGUCUAAUUCCCGCUAGGACUGCAGGGUGGUGCCUGUGGUGGAGAACGAUGUUCUAGUGGUUGGGGAUGAGCUCGCGGCGUUUGAGCUUGUUGGUGGGGUAAUGGCCUACCAAGGCGGCGACGGGUAGCCGGCCUGAGGGAGUGGACGUGCACGGGUGGACUGCGAUACGGGGCAGAAGACUACGGGAGGCAGCAGUGGGGAAGAAGGCACGAUGGGUGGAAGACUGAGGCCGGGACGCUGCGUGGGGGAUGACGGCCGUGGGGUUGUGAACUCCUGGCGGCCGCGCGGAAGCGACCUGGUUGGAGGGGGAGUGACGGUAGUGGGAGAAGAAGCACCGGCUAACUACGUG